AACGCGAAGAACCUUACCUACUCUUGACAUCCUCAGAACUUGGCAGAGAUGCCUUGGUGCCUUCGGGAACUGAGUGACAGGUGCUGCAUGGCUGUCGUCAGCUCGUGUCGUGAGAUGUUGGGUUAAGUCCCGUAACGAGCGCAACCCCUAUCCUUAGUUGCCAGCGAGUAAUGUCGGGGACUCUAAGGAGACUGCCGGUGACAAACCGGAGGAAGGCGGGGAUGACGUCAAGUCAUCAUGGCCCUUACGAGUAGGGCUACACACGUGCUACAAUGGCGUAUACAGAGGGUUGCGAAUCCGCGAGGUGGAGCUAAUCUCAGAAAGUACGUCGUAGUCCGGAUUGGAGUCUGCAACUCGACUCCAUGAAGUCGGAAUCGCUAGUGAUCGUGAAUCAGAAUGUCACGGUGAAUACGUUCCCGGGUCUUGUACACACCGA
rnacentral:rRNA from 1 species